rnacentral:rRNA from 1 species
GUAACAAGGUUUCCGUAGGUGAACCUGCGGAAGGAUCAUUACCGAAGCAAUAAGGGUCCUUGAGACUGCACUCCAAGUAGUGCGUGCUCGGACUCUUCUUCUUCUUAUCCACACACACCUUUGUGCACCAAUGGGACGCAAGUCCCCUUUUUCACACGAAUACCAAGUUAUAUGCAUGUAUUUAACAUUUAACUAAAUGUAACAACUUUCAACAACGGAUCUCUUGGCUUUCGCAUCGAUGAAGAACGCAGCGAAUGUGCGAGACGUAAUGUGAAUUGCAGAAUUCAGUGAAUCAUCGAAUCUUUGAACGCAUCUUGCGCUCCUUGGUAUUCCGAGGAGCAUGCCUGUUUGAGUGUCGUGAAUACUCUCAGUUUCUUACUCUUUUGGUUUGAAACUGGACUUGAAUGCUUGCCGUGUUUUCCCACGGCUCAUUCUAAAUGCAUUAGCGGUCUACCCUCGAUCACACCACAAUGUGAUAAGUCAAGCAUUGGGGUUCGAGGCGGAAGGCGGCUUCUAACCGUCCGCGAGGACACUUGAUCUCAUCUGACCUCAAAUCAGGUAGGACUACCCGCUGAACUUAAGCA